rnacentral:lncRNA from 1 species
ACCAGAAAUACUCAUGUUUUGACCUGUUAUCGCAUCAAAAUGAUAGCUGCUCUAUUCACUAUUUUUCUUAACUUUACAUUAAGGAAUUGUUUUCAAAACAUGUUUAUAUGCCUCUAAUAUUGCUUAUCUUAUUGAGUAUUAGAACUCACCUAAAUCUAGCCCCCACAGACAUAGAUUUUGAUGAUUUGUUAAGGACCCUUGCUUAGAUUCAUUCCAGGAGGACUUGUUUGGGAGCAGACCUAUGUAUUUUGUUUAAACACUUAAGAGGC